UUGGACUGUGUUAAAGACUUCACAACAAGAGAGGUGAAACCUGAAGAGAAUGAAGCCCUGGCAGCCAAAGCAGGCCUCUUAGGCCAACCACGGUAGAGGCCGGAGGCACGGACUUGCACUGAGAGAUUGCCAGCAGCUGUCACAGUCAGAACAAGGAUUCGUCUGGUGGAGAAUCCCCUGACACAGCAAGCGCCGUGGUACAUCAUCUGUCAUGACUACCUGGCCAACGGAAACCACCGGAGAAAAAAUCACUGUUCACCAGAAAGAGUCAAAACAGAAGGCCUUUCUGUGCAGUAGAAAUGGUAAGAUGCAGUGUUGUUGAGGCCUUAAGAUUCGUCUGCGUGGUCACCAUGAUUGCAAAAAUAAACCACUGUUCUUUUCUUUGUGACUGUUAAUUUUAAAAGCAAAAUAUGUGUCCAAUCAUGUAUGAGAUAGAAAAAAUUUAUUACUAAAAGUAAAAUAAGUGAAAAU
rnacentral:lncRNA from 1 species